CAAAACCAAAUUUGCAUUCCUCAAACCUUCUCUUUUACUGUUUUAUUUUGCCAUGUUUUGUUAGUUGUUUGUUUGUUUGCUUAUGUGUGCGUUUAUGUUUUAAACAUUGAGGGCAAUGUUUGGUUUAAGUGUGGGGGGGGGGGGGGGUAAACAAGCUGUUUUUGCAUGAUUUUAGUGGGAUUUUAUCACCUAUCACUUCUAAUGUUGUUACUCACUGUUUUUAAGUGUUUUUAGUGUGUUUUGGUUUGUUUUAAUGUGUUUUGAAGUAAAAAUCUGAAUAUUUGAAAAAAAUCUGGAAAAAGUGUUUUGAUAAACCCAAAAAAGAGUCAUUUUUGUGUGUUUGUUUGUGUCUUAGGGUACCUUCCAACACAAUGAUGAGGAUUUGGUUUUUAAGUGCAUGACUGUUAAAGAAAGUUACAAGCAUGGAUGGAAGUUUGAUAUGCUCUUUGGUUUAUGCUUGGUUGCAAUUAUAGUUUACGAAUUCACAUGUAAUCACAAAAGGAAAAAAAUCAGUUUUUGUAACAUGCUUGAAGGAAGGAACUCAAACUAACGCUACAUCCCUGAGAGACUUGAGCCUAAACGUUUAUUUAGAGAGUUAUUAAUUUGUGCAUUCUUGUUUUGUAAAGUCGUUGCAUGAUCUCAUUAUUCUUUGCUUGGUUGCUACUUAGAAUGCGUUUCAUCAUUAUAGGUCCAAAUACUAGAACUCAUGCCGUUCCAUUCAAAGCAUGACAUUGAUUUGCAUAACACAUAUUCAAGAUGAAGUUGUUUAGUGAACAAAAGCCAAAAUAGCCGAACCCACCUUUCUCAUUUGUUUUGUAGGUUUAAACCCCGUUGAGCCUUGUUUAGCCUAUUUUCUUUGUUAACCACAUUAUCCUUACCUAGCCUAGAAUAGGACUUUCCAUACUCUUGUUCUUAAAGAAUAGUGAAGCAUGACUUAGCGUGAAUUCCUUUUGAUCAACAUAUGCAGAAAAGUAAGUGUGGGGGAAGAAUGUUUCAAAGUGUGUGUUUUGUGUGCCAAAGACAAGGGCACGGCAAUAAAAAAAAAUGUGUGAAAAGAAUGAAAAACAGUUGAAAAUAAGUGAGAAUGAACUCACAUGUAUUGGUUGUUGAAGAAAGGGUUCAAAAGUUUGAAUUUGACCCUAAGUGUUGCAUGAAUCUUCCCUUGUGUUUAAAAGUUGAUUUUUACAUUCAAAAGUGAAUUCUAAGUAUCAAUUUCAUUACUUUACUUACUAUUUCUUUAAGAACCUUAGUUUUUCCUUACCUUUCUUUGUUAGCCAACACCCUUAACCCCGUUACAACCCUUGACUUCCAUCUUGAGUGUUGUGUGUUUCAAUAUGUGGAGUUUGGAAUUGGAAUGAGCAUAUGAUAUCACUGGUUCUAGCAUCUAAGUAGUGGCAUUCCAUUCAUGAGAUCAUAUAUAUAUACAUGCAUUAAUAAUUCAAAAAAAGUGCUUUCUUUGCUAUAACAUAUGUGAGUACUAGUCUUCAUGUUUACAUCAAUCUUCUCACAUAUACCUAGUGUAGGGAGUGUAGUCAGAAAUUCUUGUAUGAAAAUAAGAGUGUACUUAGUGAGGAAUUGAGUGAACUCUUUAAGGCAUGUUACUACAUUCAAAACAUUGUUUUAAUUAAAUGCGAGCAGUGGAUGGUAACUAUGAUUAAGUAUGUGCUCGGGGGUAGGGAUGGCCAAAGUCUGUGUAAGUAAUGAUUUUUAGCAUGUCAUGUUCAUUGGAAAUCCCUGAGGUAAUUGUUGGAAGGUCUAGAUUGUGUUUUGUUUCUUUUGUUUGUUUCGUUUUGCUCAAGGACUAGCAAAAGCUAACUGUGGGGGAAUUUGAUAGGAGCAUAUUUAGGCGACUUAGUUAGCUUGUUUUCUUGCAUUUAUGUUGUUAGUUAUUAGUUAUUUUAGUAGUUUAAGCUAUUUUUGUGUGUUUGUAGGUCCAAAGGGCUAAGGAGUCAAGAAAGUGCAUUUUAGAGCAUUUUGGAGCAGUUUUGGGCUUGGAAUGGAUAUCACAUGCUUGGAGCAAUGGAGAUGGACAAAAUUGAAGACCUAAAGAUACUAGGAUUCCUAAUUGAAAAUGGAUUCCUAGAAGAAUGAAGAUUCCUACUUACACAAGGAUUCCUACAAGAAGAAGGAAUGUUAAGCCAAGGUUUCCUACUUUGGUUUUAACCUUUCCUAAUCCUAAAAGUCCCUAAGUUCCAGCAACAAAGAAGACUUCUGAUCAUAUUAAGACACUAAAUAAGAACUUCUAGAAGUCCUAAACCCCUUGCCGCACCUUCCUUGUCCCUUUCUCUUCCUUGUCGUGCAAGGGAGAGCCUUUCUUUCCUAUUUCCUGCACCAAAUCACAUUCCCUUUUUAAUUAAAAGCCUUGCCACAUAUCUCCUUACUCUUUCCUUUGAUUUCUGAUUUUUUUUCCUUUUUCUAGUAGUUUUACUUUAUUUCUGUUAACCUAAAUAAGUUAGGGUUUUGAUUUCCUAAAACCUUAAAUAUUUCCUUUUACCGCACAAAAAUACAUUAUUCUUCCCAUCCAUUCUCCAAUACACACAUCCAGCCACACCCAUACACUCUCAUCACCCAUCACUCAUCCACCACCACAAUUCACCACAAAAUUAUCAACCAUACCUUGUGCCGUAGCAAAGAAGAAGAAGGAGGGCCCUUGGACGUGCUUGCCAUUCAAGUUAGAGUUGCUGGAACUUUUUUAGGUGUAAUCUUUCUUUGUUUUCAAUGUUUAAGUUUAAUAAUCUUUGUUUUGCAAGUAUGAGGAACUAAACCCCUCUUAGCUAGGGGGAAUUUCGAAACCAUGACUAUACUUGCAAUAUGAUUUGAUUACAUCCAGUUGUAAUUUCAUAAAUUGUGAAUUCAAUUUACUUAUCUGUUUGAAUUAAAACUUGUUUGUGUAUGUGGGUUAAGAGUGCACUCUUAAUUUGCAUGCAUAAAUCUGAUGCUAGGAUAUAAGGGAGUUUCACCUAAUCGUUAUGAACUUAUAUUCAUAAGUGGUGGAGGUUACUAGUCACAAUCGUGUUAAGUAAAUUCAUGGCAUAAGUAUCACGCGCUUUCAUAGUUACGAAUGCCUUGUCAAUACUUACGAUUUUCAUAGAACUUAAUGAUCUUUGAUUGUAUCUCUAUUAUGCGCUUUCAUGUAGGGAACUUUUGAAGAAUAAUUUAAUUGCGAUGCGCUAUUUCCGUCCAAUUCAAUGACAUAAGGAAAAUCUGAGGCUUAAUUUAAGCGUACCUAAUUAAUCUGGGGUUUGAGAUUUAUGGUUUAUUGAAAGAAACAACUGGAAAUUGAUUUCUUUGCAAGUGUGUCAUGUGUGGAGAAGAACCCUCUAGCUAGCCCAUCAUCCAUCCAUUACCCAAUUUCAUCCAAACUUUGUUUUAGUUUACAAUCUGUUUGUUUUACUUUCAAAUUCGUCAAAACCAAAUCCCCCUUUACUUUGAGUCAUAUUAGUUAGAAACUAUUUUAGUUUGUGUUUUUAAGUGUUUUGAGUCAAGGUAAAACCAAUUUUCGUCCAAAUUCACUCUUAGUGUCUAUUUUGAGUCAUAUAGCUUGUUUUGUGCUGUUUUGAGUCAUUGAGUUGUUUUAGUGUAUUAGAGUCUAGUUUUGCAUUCUUUGAGUCUAGUUUAGUGUUCCAAACUUAGUUUUACGUUUUCAAGUCAGUUUCAAGUGUUUUAGCAAUCCCUCCCAAUCCCCGGCCUAGAAC
rnacentral:lncRNA from 1 species